AACGAACGCUGGCGGCAUGCCUAACACAUGCAAGUCGAACGAAGUCUUCGGACUUAGUGGCGCACGGGUGCGUAACGCGUGGGAAUCUGCCCUUGGGUGCGGAAUAACUUCUCGAAAGGGAUGCUAAUACCGCAUAAUGUCGUAAGACCAAAGAUUUAUCGCCCAAGGAUGAGCCCGCGUAAGAUUAGCUAGUUGGUGGGGUAAAAGCCUACCAAGGCGACGAUCUUUAGCUGGUCUGAGAGGAUGAUCAGCCACACUGGGACUGAGACACGGCCCAGACUCCUACGGGAGGCAGCAGUGGGGAAUAUUGGACAAUGGGCGAAAGCCUGAUCCAGCAAUGCCGCGUGAGUGAUGAAGGCCCUAGGGUUGUAAAGCUCUUUCGGGAGGGAAGAUGGAGUGGGUAACCACUUGGACGGUACCUCCAGAAGCAGCCACGGCUAACUUCGUGCCAGCAGCCGCGGUAAU
rnacentral:rRNA from 1 species